rnacentral:misc_RNA from 1 species
CCUAGAGUUGUAGGCUUGCCUGCCCUGCUAUGUCCUUACCCAGUGUCUUUUGACGUACACUUACGUAGCUUCCCUCGGUGGGGUUACCGCCCACCGCGGAUUGACACAAAUUUAAUAACCCCUUUUAGCAGUUGAGGUAAUCAGCGAUCUGAAAAAACUUAAUAGUUACAGGUCUA